UACGGAGGGGGCUAGCGUUGUUCGGAAUUACUGGGCGUAAAGCGCACGUAGGCGGCUUUGUAAGUUAGAGGUGAAAGCCCGGGGCUCAACUCCGGAAUUGCCUUUAAGACUGCAUCGCUAGAACGUCGGAGAGGUAAGUGGAAUUCCGAGUGUAGAGGUGAAAUUCGUAGAUAUUCGGAAGAACACCAGUGGCGAAGGCGACUUACUGGACGCACUAGUGACGCUGAGGUGCGAAAGCGUGGGGAGCAAACAGG
rnacentral:rRNA from 1 species